ACAAACUUGGUCAUUUAGAGGAAGUAAAAGUCGUAACAAGGUCUCCGUUGGUGAACCAGCGGAGGGAUCAUUAAAGAGUUUUCUAACUCCUAAACCCAUGUGAACAUACCUUACGUUGCCUCGGCAGGUUGUGCCUGGCCUACCCUCCCUUAUCAGGGAGGGAUACAGGCAGGCUUGCCGGCGGCCCACGAAAAUUCUGUUUAUUUGUUUUUGAGUUCUGAAUAAAUAACAAAAUAAGUUAAAACUUUCAACAACGGAUCUCUUGGUUCUGGCAUCGAUGAAGAACGCAGC
rnacentral:misc_RNA from 1 species